GAAAACAAAUUACAGUGGCUUGGUUUACAUGUAACUAAAAUAAAUCUCACCUUUCUGGCACACUAUUUUGAUAGUGCCGUUCGGCAGUUUAGGUUUACGUGUAGUUUUCUUUUAGGAAGAGAAAUUCUCCUUCACAAUUCAAAUGGCCAAAUUAAUAUUAAAAUAUGGGAGGUUGUACUUCAAUAUAUCUGUCAGUGUUCCAGUUUCCCAUUUGAUGUCAUGCAACUUUCUUAAAAUGGCUUUACAUGAAGUUUUUAGGUUGUCUCAAAGAAUAGCAAGUUCAGCCUGCCUUAUUUGGCCACCAAAAACGUAAUAAAAAAAUCAAACAAAACAAAAAACCCGGACAUAUUGCUACACAAGACAAUACAACAAACAGAUACCAACAUUCCACAGCAGAGGGCGCUGCACCACAGGCAGGAUUACAGGGACGGGGGAAGGACCUUCUUUAAUGUGUCGAUCUAGAUUUGCACACACUGUACUCCUUCCUUUUGAGAAGUAAUAUCAAUAUUCAAUACUUUGAAAAUAUGGGAGAAUAGUCUUGCGUAUUUAUUUGUUUGCAUUAAUAAACAAAAAUGACUUGAUCCCUAAGAUGUUUUUGUAAAGCAAUACAAUUUUUAAUCUUUGGACUGAAGCAGCAAAAUGCUCAGUUAUAUACAAAGCAAUGUUGUUGUUCCAGUUUGGGUAAAGUCAAAUAAAUGAAGUUGCAGACACUGUCAUUCAAACUAAACAGGUCAAACAGGUACUUUUGAAAGUCAUAUGAAAACUUUGUUGAGAAGUUCAUUGUGAAGCUAUUUUUUUCCCCACAUGCUGCUUGUUUUAAAUACUGAUAAAAAGGUAUAGAUCAAACGCAAGUAGCCUAUAUGAUAGUGUUUACAUUUAUUUUUACAAUCCAUAAAUAUUAAAUUAAGAGCUGACAAGUGUUUUUGUUGACUUCUUGUUAAAUGAAUCAGUAUCUAUUUACAAACUUCAACCUUUUUCACAUAUCCCACUGUAUCAUGAUUUUAAGCAUACAGCUCAAAACAGUGAACGUACAAAUUCAUCUUUCUAAUAAACUGGAAUAAUGUAUCUCUAAACAAAAUUGUGUAGCCAAGGAGAACAGUCAUUAUCAUGCCACUUCAGGAAUUACACCUAAAAGAAAUAGUAUAUAUUUUUGGAACACAGUUAACUUUGUAUUGGGCAAUGCUCGAGUAGCAUCAAAACACACACAAUGAAGCAAGGAGUCAGAACAUUAUAUUAAAACCAAAAGUUAACUCAAAACCAUUUAAAACAAAUACCAGACAAAUGUUCCCCCAAAAGAAGCAAUACAGUCUUCAUUAAUUCCAUCAACCACAAUAAAAAUACAAACAGUUAGUACUUUGUAAAGGGAUUUUUUAAAAGAAAUAAUGACUGAAAAGUAAUACAUGCGUGGCUCAUCACUGAAUAAUAAUGAGGCAGACACAGAGCCUUGGGUGUUGACACGCCACACAGGCGCGCAGAUUCAAUAUCAACACUGAGGUGCUGCCUCUAGGGUGCCAGCAAUGAUUUAAUAAAGAAAACAAAACAACGUUAAAAAUAAAAGUUUGCCACACACGGCGAGUGCCAGUCUCACUAAAAGAGACGCCCUGCUCCGGGAACUUACUACACUACAAAAACCCUCUCUAUACUGGUUGGAAUCAACCUAUCCUAAACUAACCUACUCCUGUUGCUCCCGAAGUCCCUGCCUUCCAGUGACUCCGGGUCAUUGCGAUGGUCCAAUCCGGACCUCAUAAUCAACUUUGACCAUGACCCUCAGCCAAUCCAUACCUCUUGAUCAGCUCAUCGCCGGGCAAGCUUACCUGCUCAAUUGGUUGCCUGGCAACGCGUCUCUUGUUAUGAGUCACAGCUGCACAAUCUGAACAAGAACCAGCAACAGGGUUCUCCCUGUCACACACCCUACCCCUUAGAAGUGGUACAGCCUACAGUACAAUGUGAAGCAAGAAAGUAUUGCAUAGGUUAUUGAUGUAUACUUGCUUUGAUUAUAUAGAUUUCAGAACUAUUAGUUGUGUUCACAAGCUGCUAGACCUUAGCAUUGUGUCAAAACAAUAUGCAGAUUAGCAAUAGCGGAAUCUACAUUAUUUUCAGAUUUUUAAGUGUGAUGUUCCCUCAUUUUAACAGAUGGCCAGAAUAUAUAAUAAUUGUAUUAAAUCAGGUGUAGAUGCAUGCUGCCUGUGUGUACCAUAUACUAAGGACUCAGCAUUGGAUAUGUUGUGUUGGCUACAACUAAAUAAUAAAGUUUUGAGAUAAAAUUGUGUUUGUAGUAUACAUUUCACACUAUAUAGGAAAGUAAAUGUAGGCAUUGUUAAUAUGUACAGUUGACUGUUCAGAAAUGACUACACAGGGUCCACUCUGGGCUCUGGGUUCAACUCGAAUGUAUUCUUGGGAGCGCUCUGCUCAACUAGUAAUAAGCUCCACAAGUCUGGAGUAACAGCACUUAUGAAGCGACACCAGGAAGCAGCAGCACUCCUGUCCAAAGCAGGAUUUUUGAACCAGGUUUUCGUCAGUUAUGCUGCCUUUAUAAUACCCUGCAGCACCACAAUUGGAUUUAAUAUACAACAGCAAUAUAUAGCUGACAGGAUCACUCUGUUACCUCACAUUUUACAUUAACAUAUUACUUGUAACUUAUUUAUUUUCUCACAGCUUUUAUUUUGUUUUUUUUUAUGGUGUCAAUAGAAAAAAAAAUACACUGCCACUCGACUGCCAAUAUUAAAAACAAUGAUAAUGACAUCCAACUGUCCAUAGAAAAAUAUGUUAUUAUUAUUACAGUGCUCCCCCUUUAUGCUGCAGAAAAGGUUAUAAGGUGGUACGGUCAUGGCUCCCAUUUUCCCCAUAAUGCCAUAACACUGGUAUUCUCAUUAGGCGGAACACAAACAGCACAGUCUCUUAACUUUGGCUCCCAACUACAGCGUUAUAAAGGGGUAGCUCUGUAUUAUUAAUGUUAUUAUUAUUAUUGGCGAGUUGAAACCAGUUCAGAAUUCAAAGUUAUCCUGUAGCGCCUCCCACCAUCUAGUGUCCUUACUGGGUCAUUACAGUAAACGAGAUGGUUGGAUAUAUGUUAUAUGGUGAAACAGAAAAUUCUUUUGGCCUUUCCAGAGCAAUUUUCUACUCCAAACUCACUCGAUGAUAAAUUAGUGGACUGCUGGCCAAACCAUGUUUUGGAGAAAAAUCUGCUGUUCACUGCUUUCAAAGUUCUUAAGAUUGACCCCACCUUUAAGCCGGAUGCCUGAAGGUAUUGCAUGUCUUUGUAAAAUAUUGUUUGAAAUAUUGUCAGUGCAUGAAAUACAGUAUGUAGGAUACAUCAUGAUACUGACAGCUGGGUCUGGCAAUGUUUAUACACGUACAGUGCAUGUAUUGUGUCUGUUCAAAACCUUUUGCUUGUCACACAAUGCACUGUAUAAAGUACUUUUAAGAAACAGGUAUUUCACUUCUUCACUAACCAUGUGGAUACUUUGUACUUUGUUUUUGUUCACAUAAACACUUAAAAAACACCAAAACACCAAUUUGGAUAGGACCAAUUACUGGACUACCUUCACAAGGGUUCACCUCUGUUGGUUAAGAGGCACCUGUGAGAGACCCUUUCCCUCCAGGUCAUAUUCUGGACAAUUUUCUCUUUACAACAAACACUCACAAGCAAAAUGCUCUUCCGAAGGUCAGCUGGCUGCACUAUACAAAUAGACAAUGGUGUUACCAUGCAUGGUGUGUUCUGGUAAUAUUUACCAUUUAGAUCUUCGAUCGUACUGCCAUGUUUGAGAUGUAAAGGGUAAAGAUUACAUAACAUAAGAACACCAAGCACAAUUCAGUAGAUUUUAAAAGUCGGUUUGUUUACACAAGUCUGAGAUCUGAGGACCAUAUAAAAUGCAGACUGCAGGACAUCAAUGUUCUCAUCGAAGGACCUUCAAAUAACAAAAGUAUUACGUAAUACAGAAUAAAUGUGAGUGUGGUGGUGUAAUGAUUGGGCACUCUGGAUAAAAAGAGAAAAAAAGAUUCACAUGCAUCUCAUGGGGAACAAGUGUAACGUGGUGCUCAAUUGAGAACCAUGUCUAAAAUAUUCAAUCCACUACCAUCAUUGUGCCAGAGGUACAUGCAUCUCCAAAAGCCACCAAAAUGUGCCAGUCCUUUUCUAGAAACAGCUAUAAAAGUAACAGCUGCUAUUAACAUGAUUAUUUUCUAUCUACAUUUGUGUCUUUGAAACGACAAGUGUUAAUAGCAUUCUUGUCUAUUGCCACAUUUUUAAAUGUCUCAGAUAAGCAAGGGUGUGCCGGAGUGAGUCACAGGCUGGGUGUAUGGGACUGAACACGUCUGUUAAACGUUUGUUAACAAGUCUGUUAAACUGUAACAUUACAGUUGAGACUUCUGGGAUAGGUCAUAAAACACACCCACUGAAUGAUCUACUGAAUUAACUAUAUACAGUAAUGGUAACACAUGCACACAAACUGUUGCG